CAAUAUAUAGUUAAAUAUGGGGA
rnacentral:snRNA from 1 species